GACGAACGCUGGCGGCAUGCCUAAUACAUGCAAGUCGAACGAGCGGCGGACGGGUGAGUAAUGUAUGGGAAUCUGCCUGAUGGAGGGGGAUAACUACGGGAAACGGUAGCUAAUACCGCGUACCAUAAGAUGUGCCCAAGUGGGAUUAGCUAGUCGGUGGGGUAAUGGCUCACCUAGGCGACGAUCACUAGCUGGUCUGAGAGGAUGCCCAGCCACACUGGGAUUGAGACACGGUACAGACUCCUACGGGAUGCAGCAGUGGGGAAUAUUGCACAAUGGGAGCAAGCCUGAUGCAGCCAUGCCGCGUGAGUGAAGAAGGCCUUCGGGUUGUAAAGCACUUUCAGCGAGGAGGCGUUACUCGCAGAAGAAGCACCGGCUAACUCCGUGCCAGCAGCCGCGGUAAUAC
rnacentral:rRNA from 1 species